rnacentral:sRNA from 1 species
GGAUGACAAGAGCAAGCCAAUCCAUUUGACCGCUUUCCUCGGAUACAAGGCCGGUAUGACCCAUAUCGUCCGUGAUGUCGAUAAGCCAGGAUCAAAG